UCCUUUCAAAUCAUCUCUUUUAAGUUUCUACCAUUUUUUCAUUUUGUUACCACCAUCAUCUUAGAUUUCUUUUCAAAUGAAUGCAAGACUCUUUAAAACACAUAUUCAUUCAUUCAUUAUCAUUUCAAAUCUUGACAAAUACAAUGCAAUCAAGUAUUUUCUCAAUUCAUUCUAGGGGUGUAACAAUAAAAGAACACAAGGUGAAUUAUGGUAAAGAUAAUCAAUGAAGAUCUAUUUCGG
rnacentral:lncRNA from 1 species